UACGAAGGGAGCUAGCGUUGUUCGGAAUUACUGGGCGUAAAGGGCGCGUAGGCGGCUCUACAAGUUGGAUGUGAAAGCCCAGGGCUCAACCCUGGAAUUGCAUUCAAGACUGUAUUGCUUGAAUUCGGUAGAGGUUGGUGGAAUUCCCAGUGUAGAGGUGAAAUUCGUAGAGAUUGGGAAGAACACCCGUGGCGAAGGCGGCCAACUGGACCGACAUUGACGCUGAGGCGCGAAAGCGUGGGGAUCAAACAGG
rnacentral:rRNA from 1 species